UGCUGCCAGUUGCCAACGGGUAGAGCCGGGCACUCUGGCGGGACUGCCAUCGACAAGAUGGAGGAAGUGGGGAUGACGUCAAGUCAUCAUGGCCCUUAUGUCCAGGGCGACACACGUGCUACAAUGGCCGGCACAGCGGGAAGCGAGGCAGUGAUGCCAAGCGGAUCCCUUAAAGCCGGUACUCAGUUCGGAUUGAAGUCUGCAACUCGACUUCAUGAAGCUGGAAUCGCUAGUAAUCGCAGAUCAGCCAAGCUGCGGUGAAUACGGUUCCCGGGCCUU
rnacentral:rRNA from 1 species